rnacentral:rRNA from 1 species
UCCUACGGGAGGCAGCAGUGGGGAAUAUUGGACAAUGGGCGAAAGCCUGAUCCAGCCAUGCCGCGUGUGUGAAGAAGGCCUUCGGGUUGUAAAGCACUUUAAGCGAGGAGGAAGGUUCGUCACCUAAUACGUGACGGAAUUGACGUUACUCGCAGAAUAAGCACCGGCUAACUCUGUGCCAGCAGCCGCGGUAAUA